GUCUCCGAAGCGCCUGGGACGCGACUGACAACUUUUUCAGGUUUGGUUUGAAUUUCAAACUCCCUUAACUUUAUCUCUAACGGCUAUAUUUGCUUUUUGGGCUAUAAAAGGGAGCUCUUAAGUGCUUUCCAACAACUUCUCACCAACCCAACACAAGAUCAUUCAAGAGAGAAGAAAGAAAAAGAGGUUCAAGGGAGUUAGUGCAUU
rnacentral:lncRNA from 1 species